rnacentral:ncRNA from 1 species
GUGAUCCCCGUGGGAGAGUGCCACGGUCCUGUUCAAGAAGUUGAACGGAUUACGCGGACGCCGAAGGAGCAACCACCCCGGAAACUCUCAGGCAACCGGACCGCGGGGAGAUG